GACGAACGCUGGCGGCGUGCUUAACACAUGCAAGUCGAACGGAAAGGCCCUGCUUUUGUGGGGUGCUCGAGUGGCGAACGGGUGAGUAACACGUGAGUAACCUGCCCUUGACUUUGGGAUAACUUCAGGAAACUGGGGCUAAUACCGGAUAGGAGCUCCUGCUGCAUGGUGGGGGUUGGAAAGUUUCGGCGGUUGGGGAUGGACUCGCGGCUUAUCAGCUUGUUGGUGGGGUAGUGGCUUACCAAGGCUUUGACGGGUAGCCGGCCUGAGAGGGUGACCGGCCACAUUGGGACUGAGAUACGGCCCAGACUCCUACGGGAGGCAGCAGUGGGGAAUAUUGCACAAUGGGCGGAAGCCUGAUGCAGCAACGCCGCGUGCGGGAUGACGGCCUUCGGGUUGUAAACCGCUUUCGCCUGUGACGAAGCGUGAGUGACGGUAAUGGGUAAAGAAGCACCGGCUAACUACGUGCCAGCAGCCGCGGUGAUACGUAGGGUGCGAGCGUUGUCCGGAUUUAUUGGGCGUAAAGGGCUCGUAGGUGGUUGAUCGCGUCGGAAGUGUAAUCUUGGGGCUUAAACCCUGAGCGUGCUUUCGAUACGGGUUGACUUGAGGAAGGUAGGGGAGAAUGGAAUUCCUGGUGGAGCGGUGGAAUGCGCAGAUAUCAGGAGGAACACCAGUGGCGAAGGCGGUUCUCUGGGCCUUUCCUGACGCUGAGGAGCGAAAGCGUGGGGAGCGAACAGGCUUAGAUACCCUGGUAGUCCACGCUGUAAACGGUGGGUACUAGGUGUGGGGUCCAUUCCACGGGUUCCGUGCCGUAGCUAACGCUUUAAGUACCCCGCCUGGGGAGUACGGCCGCAAGGCUAAAACUCAAAGGAAUUGACGGGGCCCCGCACAAGCGGCGGAGCAUGCGGAUUAAUUCGAUGCAACGCGUAGAACCUUACCUGGGUUUGACAUGGAUCGGGAGCGCUCAGAGAUGGGUGUGCCUCUUUUGGGGUCGGUUCACAGGUGGUGCAUGGCUGUCGUCAGCUCGUGUCGUGAGAUGUUGGGUUAAGUCCCGCAACGAGCGCAACCCUUGUUCACUGUUGCCAGCACGUUAUGGUGGGGACUCAGUGGAGACCGCCGGGGUCAACUCGGAGGAAGGUGGGGAUGACGUCAAGUCAUCAUGCCCCUUAUGUCCAGGGCUUCACGCAUGCUACAAUGGCUGGUACAGAGAGUGGCGAGCCUGUGAGGGUGAGCGAAUCUCGGAAAGCCGGUCUCAGUUCGGAUUGGGGUCUGCAACUCGACCUCAUGAAGUCGGAGUCGCUAGUAAUCGCAGAUCAGCAACGCUGCGGUGAAUACGUUCCCGGG
rnacentral:rRNA from 1 species